rnacentral:rRNA from 1 species
GUCUAUGGUCAUACCACCCUGAACGCACCUGAUCUGGUCUGAUCUCGGAAGCUAAGCAGGUUUGGGCCUGGUUAGUACUUGGAUGGGAGAAAUACAAAGGAUUGUAAGAA